rnacentral:tmRNA from 1 species
ACAAUCAAGCGGAGACUAAGCAUGUAGAAAGCUUCGGGGUUCCUCGUUUGGACGAGGGUUCGAUUCCCUCCAGCUCCACGA